rnacentral:rRNA from 1 species
AACGAACGCUGGCGGCAUGCUUAACACAUGCAAGUCGAACGCUUCUGCGGGCUUCGGCCCGCAGCGGAGUGGCGCACGGGUGAGUAGCGCGUGGGAACCUGCCCAGCAGUGGGGGAUAAC